rnacentral:RNase_P_RNA from 3 species
AGAGCCGACCGGGUGGUCGCGGGCGUAUUCCAACGCUCGAGGAAAGUCCGGACUCCACAGGGCAGGGAGCUGGGUAACGCCCAGGCGGGGAAACCCGACGGAAAGUGCCACAGAAAGGGAAACCGCCGGCCUUCAUUUAUGAGGGCGGGCAAGGGUGAAAAGGUGGGGUAAGAGCCCACCAGCGGCCUGGUGACAGGACCGGCUUGGUAAACCCCUCUUGGAGCAAGGCCAAAUAGGAGCCGAUGCUGUAGCCCGCAGCGUUCGAGGCUCGGGUAGGCCGCUCGAGGCCGCCGGUAACGGCGGUCCCAGAUGGAUGACCACCGCCCGGUUCGUCCGGGUACAGGAUCCGGCUUACAGGUCGGCUCUCUCU